UGGGGUGGGGAAAGGGGGGAGCAGACAGAGGCUGUCGUGGCAACAAGAUCUCUGCUGCUGGCCAGAAUUGGGAAAUGUAAGAAGAUGGUGAAUUACUAUAGAUGUAAGUGUUCAGUAUGCCAUCUGACGGAUUUACUACAGAGAAAAAAAUCAAAGAAGUUAUGCCAGAAAAAGAACAGGAAGACAAGUCGGCAGCAUAAGCCAAUGCUCUGGUUGAAGACACUGCUUGACAUCAUGUUUUUCCAUGUCAUGUUUUCUCCCAUGGCCAGCAAAAAGAAAAGCCUCUUUUGGUCCAGGCCUAAGACCACCAUGAUCAUCUUUGAUUUUACAUCUCUGCCCCAGGGUCUCUAAGUAAAAUCUCUCUCCUUUCACUG